rnacentral:lncRNA from 1 species
AUAUAAAGAUAAUUCCAAACCAGAAACUGACCGUUCAACAGGAUCAAGUUCAUGGAAUCAAAGGAUUUUUUUUUUUGCUGGAAAUAUUUGGUAAAAAUGAAAACUUGAUAUAUAGAUACUUCAGAAAAUGAAAAUAAGGGCUAGAGAAAUGACUCAGCAAUUGAGAGCCCUUACUGCUUUUUCAGAGGAUCUGAGUUUGGUUCCUUGUUUCCCCUUGCCAGGUGCUCACAAAUACCUGUAUCGAUAGCUCCAGGGUAUCCAACACCUUUGGCCUCCACAAGCAUCUGAACUCAUUUGUACACUCACACAAACACACACAUACACACUUAAAAACAAUAUUUUUUAAAAUAAUGAAAAAUAUCCACUGAUCAAAUUUUGGAAAUAUGUUAUAUAAUUUGUCACAUAAAAUGAAGGCAAUAAUCUAAUACGAUACUGUUGGCUUACUGCACUUAAAACUAGAACUCAAAGUAAAAUGCAAAGAGAUUAUAGAUUUUCUUAUUGUGUCACAUAGAAUCAAAUCAGCAAACUCUAAUUUCAGCAAGUUCUAUGUAUGGAAAAACAUGUACUACAAUAUAGCCAGUGUCAUGAUUGUAGCAUAUCAAAAUUGCUGUCAAUACACCAACAUGAUGACUAUUGAAAGAAAAAUAUGUGUCACUGCUCAUAAAAAUAAGCAUAAUUCAGUGAUAAAACCGUGCUAUAAUAAUGUAAAGCUGAUCGUAACAGCCAUGGUUCCUAAUAAAUGAUAUCUAAAAUCUUAAAUCUUAAUCAGUUUUUUGCAUAGUGGGCAGUAUAUCAGUUUUAUAAAAUGCUAAAUUUUCAUACAGUAUGAUCCUCCAACAUUGCUUGUCAAUGUUCUGAAUUCUUAAUACAUCAGAUACUGUUAACUUGUGAAAACUUGUUCUAAGCUGCUC